AGAGUUUGAUCCUGGCUCAGGAUGAACGCUGGCGGCGUGCCUAAUACAUGCAAGUCGAACGCACUUUCGUUAAUUGAUUUUGAGAUGCUUGCAUCGAAGAUGAUUUUAACUAUAAAGUGAGUGGCGAACGGGUGAGUAACACGUGGGUAACCUGCCCAGAAGUGGGGGAUAACACCUGGAAACAGAUGCUAAUACCGCAUAACAAAAUUAACCGCAUGGUUGAUUUUUAAAAGAUGGCUUCGGCUAUCACUUCUGGAUGGACCCGCGGCGUAUUAGCUAGUUGGUGAGAUAAAGGCUCACCAAGGCAGUGAUACGUAGCCGACCUGAGAGGGUAAUCGGCCACAUUGGGACUGAGACACGGCCCAGACUCCUACGGGAGGCAGCAGUAGGGAAUCUUCCACAAUGGACGCAAGUCUGAUGGAGCAACGCCGCGUGAGUGAUGAAGGCUUUCGGGUCGUAAAACUCUGUUGUUGGAGAAGAACGUGUGUGAGAGUAACUGCUCUGCAGUGGNCGGUAUCCAACCAGAAAGCCACGGCUAACUACGUGCCACAGCCGCGGUAAUACGUAGGUGGCAAGCGUUAUCCCGGAUUUAUGGGCGUAAACGAGCGCAGGCGGUCUUUUAGUCUAAGGGGAAGCCUUCGCUUACCGAAAAAUGCAUGGAAACUGG
rnacentral:rRNA from 1 species